rnacentral:rRNA from 1 species
GGGUUGUGAGGUUAAGCGACUAAGCGUACACGGUGGAUGCCCUGGCAGUCAGAGGCGAUGAAGGACGUGCUAAUCUGCGAUAAGCGCCGGUAAGGUGAUAUGAACCGUUAUAACCGACGAUUUCCGAAUGGGGAAACCCAGUGUGACUCGUCACACUAUCAUUAACUGAAUCCAUAGGUUAAUGAGGCGAACCGGGGGAACUGAAACAUCUAAGUACCCCGAGGAAAAGAAAUCAACCGAGAUUCCCCCAGUAGCGGCGAGCGAACGGGGAGGAGCCCAGAGCCUGAAUCAGCAUGUGUGUUAGUGGAAGCGUCUGGAAAGGCGCGCGAUACAGGGUGACAGCCCCGUACACAAAAGCGCAUGUGCUGUGAGCUCGAUGAGUAGGGCGGGACACGUGGUAUCCUGUCUGAAUAUGGGGGGACCAUCCUCCAAGGCUAAAUACUCCUGACUGACCGAUAGUGAACCAGUACCGUGAGGGAAAGGCGAAAAGAACCCCGGCGAGGGGAGUGAAAAAGAACCUGAAACCGUGUACGUACAAGCAGUGGGAGCACCUUCGGGUGUGACUGCGUACCUUUUGUAUAAUGGGUCAGCGACUUAUAUUCUGUAGCAAGGUUAACCGAAUAGGGGAGCCGUAGGGAAACCGAGUCUUAACCGGGCGUUAAGUUGCAGGGUAUAGACCCGAAACCCGGUGAUCUAGCCAUGGGCAGGUUGAAGGUUGGGUAACACUAACUGGAGGACCGAACCGACUAAUGUUGAAAAAUUAGCGGAUGACCUGUGGCUGGGGGUGAAAGGCCAAUCAAACCGGGAGAUAGCUGGUUCUCCCCGAAAGCUAUUUAGGUAGCGCCUCGUGAAUUCAUCUCCGGGGGUAGAGCACUGUUUCGGCUAGGGGGCCAUCCCGGCUUACCAACCCGAUGCAAACUGCGAAUACCGGAGAAUGUUAUCACGGGAGACACACGGCGGGUGCUAACGUCCGUCGUGAAGAGGGAAACAACCCAGACCGCCAGCUAAGGUCCCAAAGUCAUGGUUAAGUGGGAAACGAUGUGGGAAGGCUCAGACAGCCAGGAUGUUGGCUUAGAAGCAGCCAUCAUUUAAAGAAAGCGUAAUAGCUCACUGGUCGAGUCGGCCUGCGCGGAAGAUGUAACGGGGCUAAACCAUGCACCGAAGCUGCGGCAGCGACACUGUGUGUUGUUGGGUAGGGGAGCGUUCUGUAAGCCUGUGAAGGUGUGCUGUGA